GACGAACGCUGGCGGCGUGCUUAACACAUGCAAGUCGAACGGUGAAGCGCCUUCCUUUUUGGUGGGUGUGGUUGCGUGGCGAACGGGUGAGUAACACGUGAGUAACCUGCCCCCUUCGUCUGGAUAACCGCAUGAAAGUGUAGCUAAUACAGGAUCUUCUGGGUCUGUCGCAUGAUGGGUCUGGGAUAGCUAUUGUUUCUGUGCUGGAUGGGUUCGCGCCCUAUCAGCUUGUUGGUGGGGUGAUGGCCUACCAAGGCGGGGACGGGUAGCCGGCCCGAGAGGGUGGACGGUCAGAGUGGGCGUGAGCACUGGCACUGACUCAUAGGGGAGGCAGCUGUGGGGGGUAGCGGACGGGGGGAGUGCGCCUGAUGCGGCGGCGCGGCGUGGGGGCUGGAGGUCCUCGGGUUGUGACCCCCUUUUGCAAGCGAAGCAGGGCUGCGUCGAUUGUCGGUGGCUUGACGGUAGCUGGAUAAGAAGCGCCGGCUAACUACGUG
rnacentral:rRNA from 1 species